AGUGAACGCUGGCGGUAGGCCUAACACAUGCAAGUCGAACGGCAGCACAGUAAGAGCUUGCUCUUACGGGUGGCGAGUGGCGGACGGGUGAGGAAUACAUCGGAAUCUACUUUUUCGUGGGGGAUAACGUAGGGAAACUUACGCUAAUACCGCAUACGACCUACGGGUGAAAUCAGGGGAUCUUCUGACCUUGCGCGAUUGAAUGAGCCGAUGUCGGAUUAGCUAGUUGGCGGGGUAAAGGCCCACCAAGGCGACGAUCCGUAGCUGGUCUGAGAGGAUGAUCAGCCACACUGGAACUGAGACACGGUCCAGACUCCUACGGGAGGCAGCAGUGGGGAAUAUUGGACAAUGGGCGCAAGCCUGAUCCAGCCAUACCGCGUGGGUGAAGAAGGCCUUCGGGUUGUAAAGCCCUUUUGUUGGGAAAGAAAAGCAGCAGGUUAAUACCCCGCUGUUCUGACGGUACCCAAAGAAUAAGCACCGGCUAACUUCGUG
rnacentral:rRNA from 1 species